UGGGAUGCAUAACUCAGUCUCAUGAAGGAUAUUUCAGAUCUUAAACUGCAGAGAAAAGCAGAAGGAGAGGAGAGGUUAGGACUACAGGCUCACAGGUGUAGGUGGAGGUAUAAAAGAAGCGUGACAAAAGCGCCGGAAUAUAAAAGACUCGCAUAAAUCUGCAGAAAAAAGGUUUAAUAACCACUGCUGGGCUCAUCUUAAAGAGAUAAAAUAGAGCAGUAAGGACAGAUGAUGCAGCCUUCCCACGCGUCGUAUAAAUUGACUUAUUGGAAUAACAAAAGUAGUGAGUGCUGAUGUUUUGAUUUGUUUCACAAAGACAGGUAAUAGCUGAGAAUAUUCACAGCGAGCAGGCAAAGUGAUGUUCACGAUGAGGCGAGUAUCUCUGAUUUAUUCUCUUUACUGCCAUCCAAGUCUGUUUUUUUAUCGUGUUUUUUCUGCUGCUGUGUUUGUACUGUGUUGCUCGAUUAGGUAAAAUAACCCCAUGACUGAUUGUUUCCAUGAAUACAAGUAUAUCCAGCCCCGCUACUCUAGCUGACUCUUUAUGUCGCAUUCCAAAACAAUCGACAAACAAGCUAGCAGGAGGGGAACUGCUUCCUGCCUAGGGCUGGGCGAUAUGUCCUCAAAUCAAUAUCAUGAUAUAUUGAGCAGUUCACUUCGAUAACGAUAAAUAGACGAUAACUACUCCACGAGCUGCUCACCCCCUCCCACAUUAACUUCGUCUACUUCAGCUGCUACAACUUUUGAACCGUCCUCCAUUUCCUCACCUGUCUUUCCCUCUUUGUUACGGACUAGAUGGGGUGGAGUCACGUCUCUGAUGUAGGACAGAGUCUUAAAAGGGACAUGAGACCAUAGCCUACCUACACACAUCCAAAAACAACUUUUAUAUAUGUAUUUUUUUUGACACCAAAUAUAUUGACAUGGGCAAAAUGACGUUGGUUAUUGUCGUAAAUUUGGGUAUCAGUAAAUUUUGGUUUAUCGCCCAGCCCUAGUACAAGUACAUCCAGCUCUGCUACCCUAACUAGUUAUUGUUGGACCUGCAUAUUGGCCUCAUACCAAAACAAUCGACAAACAAGCUAGCAGGAGGCGAACUGCUUCCUGCUCUGGUCCUGUAUGGCUGUAAAAGACAUCAUAAGUUUAUCUGUUAGAGCGGUUUCUGAACCUCCUCCAACUAAUCUAAGUGACAAAAACACAACAAUUUGUCCAACAGCUUAACAACGCAAACAAGCGCUCAUCCGGGUAUUUUGUAAAAAUGUUUGACAAAUUUUAGAUGAAUUAGUCAUCUACAUUUGCAUCCAAGCACAUCUUAGGUGAAGUAAUAAGCAUCAACUCCAGUAUAUAUCCAGUAUAUCCAGCUCUGCUACUCCUGCGAGUUAUUGUUGGACCUGCAUAUUGGCCUCAUACCAAAACAAUCGACAAACAAGCUAGCAGGAGGCGAACUGCUUCCUGCCUCCGGUCCUGUAUGACUUUAAAAGACAUCAGAAGUUUAUCUGUUAGAGCGGUUUCUGAACCUCUUUCCUUUGCCUUCUUUUCUGAAAUCUCAGAUUGAACUAAGUGACAAAAACACAAGAAGAGGAGAUAAAGAAAGCAAUCAAAAUAAGAAAAAAGCUUGAGUCCCCACGCUGUCAAAGCUCUGCAUCAAGAAAAUCGAUCACUCUGCUGGCGCUCUCCUCCUCUUGUCCCCGUUGAGCCGACAGCUGAUUGAUGCGAUGUCCUGCGGUCAUAGCCGGCCUCGUUCACUUGCAAACAUGAUCAAGCAGCACAGCAUCAUGUUACUUGAGGUUCUCUCGUGUUAAAUCAGACUCUUACCCUCUCUCUCUCCUCUGUCUUCUAACCUCACGACACCUCUGUCACACCUCCUAUUUUUAAGAGGAGGACGCCCUGAAUCGAACGAACCAGAAUGUCGACACGUCACUUUAUUCUGUCCCUGCACGUAAAAGCAGCGAGAUGCUAUCAUUCUCCUCCGGGGAUUUUCCUUUCAAGCUUCUGUUGCUCACUGUAAAUACUCGACUAUUUCUGCCGGCAACAAAGAAAAUCAGGAACACGUCAAUCAGCAGCAUACUGUCAUAGACUAAUCUCGCUCUCCAGCUGAAUAAUUCAUAGUCAAUUAGAGCUGAGAGGCUGAAGCUGUCUUCAUGGCACAAGUGCAUUUUCAAUGAUUCAUUUCAUGAGCUAUGCAAGGGGUCUCUUAAUUGUUGUUUACUGCUCGCUGCCUGACCACAUGUUAUUUUUAUGCCGUCGUGAUUACUCCCGGCAGCGCUUGGAGUGCUUGGGAAAUGAAGUCCAUUAAGGGGUCCUGAGAGUUGUUUCCCUGUCAAGCGCCAAGUAACGAUCCCAGGUUCAAACUUUGCUGCACGACAACAAUAAAUCUCGUCCAAUCUCAAGUGUCGGGAAAUGAGAUGUGAGGCAGGUGGUAGUUUUUGUGGUUCAAAUACCUGCAGUGCUGCAUGAAGAUUCAGUUUUAUAGUACUGCAGAGGGAAGUUAAGAUUACAGGAAACAAUGAUCAUUUGAAGGGAACAUAAAAAACUGCACAGUUGAGUCCCAGCAGAAAAAAAACAAAACAAAAACAGGUUGAUGGUGUCAGAAAAAAAGGGGGACAGACAUGUCUUCACUCUGAGACACAUUAGGUGUGUUUGUUUUGUUUGUUUGUGUGCGGCAAAGAGAAAAAGUGAGAAGACUGAGUGCCUGUGGUCACUGCUGUCCGCCGUGUGACAAACUGUAAAAGCACAGUCCGGUGACAGACGGCUCCUUUGACAGAAAUAGGCGGCAGGAUCUGAGAAUAGCACCGCUGCCCUCCAGUUGACACAGAGGGAUUUUUGUGGCACAUCGUACAUCAGCAAACCCAUCAACCUCCCCGGUCGUAAAAGUAUCACCUGCGACAUUUAAGCUACACCUGUGUGAGUUAGUCGCAUAUAAACAUGUAAAUCUGCUGAUUUUUGGAGGUGCAAAGAGUUGAGGAUUAACGCUGACAGACCACACUUGCUCUAAGAGUUGUUUUGAUUGUCUUUGUAUGGUUUAUCAGAUUGUCAAAUGUUACUGGAAUAUAUUAAAUAAAAUCACUUACAAUCUUAUUUGACCGAUGCUUAAAAGAGAGGAAGCAUUAGUGGUUAAAAGUAGGUGAAAAGAGUUAGAAUAUACUUUUUUUUAAAUAGGAAGAUCCGUCUCGUUGUGUCUUAAAAACAGGAAAUAUCUGAAUUUUGAUUGCCUAUAAAGUCGCAUCCUUUAUGAAAGACACAUCCUGAUUAUGAGGGGUCAGGAGUACAUGUGUAGAAGUGAUCCAUUUCUACUUUCACCUUUGCUGUUCAUGCAUUUCUACUUUUGACAAUGAUGUAGGUGGCAUGUAGAAGAACCUGUCAACUCCACAUCAGGCAUGACAAAACCUCAACUUUGUUCCCUUUGCACAACGCUCAGGACUGCAGUCCCACCGCAUGAGCGCAGAUACUUGCCAGAGAUUCAUCAUCUGCACAGAGGAUUAAGAAAUUAGCCUGCAGUGGAUCAGGGUAGGGAUGGGUGAUAUGGGCUAAAAAAAUUAUCAUGAUAUGAUAUUUUCAUGAUAACGAUAAAAGUCCAGAUAAAAAUAUUAUAAUUCCAAUCUAUAUUUUUGACUCAUUCUGUCUUGAGAAUACCAGUUGGAAUAGUCAAAUAAGAUACUUAACCACAAGUUUGAGUGGUAGGUUAUGGAGAAAACUAAUGACAUCAAACAAAUCUGACACGUGAAAAUAUUUCCAACAUUUGUUGAAAACUCUUACUGCACAGAGUGAACAGCAGCAGAUCCACUGUCUGAUGUCAGGUAUACCUGAUUGUACUCAUCUAAGCCCCAAUCUUGAAGGAAAUCCCUCAUGUUGAGCCUCGUUCAUUAACAAGCUGUUCAGAAACGUCCUCUUCACCACCUUCAGCCAUGUUUGUUGUCGUUGCUCGCACUUACGUCAUCAACUUGCAUUUUUCAUAUUUAUCAUGAGAUGGCAAAUAUUAAUCAUGAAGGAUUUUUCUGAUGUUAUAUCGUGAACAAUGAUUUAUCGCCCAUCCCUAGAUCAGGAACAUUAAAACAGUUUUUUGUCCCUUUAUGUUCAACACAAUCAAUAAAAAGUUCUCAAACGGCGAGGUUGCCAAACUGAUCGAUUUUUUUGCAUGUAGUCAUCUUGAAAGAAAUAAAAGAAAUGUGUGUUAAAAAACAUAUUAGCAAGUGUCACCAGUUUGUGAUGAUUAACUGCUAGAGAUGCACCGAUCCAUUUUUUUCUGAUCCAAUACGAUACCGAUACCUGGGCUGAGAGUAUCACCCAAUAUCCGAAACCGAUUCAAUACAACUGUUGAAUGAAUGAACUGUACACCUUGCCCUGUGAGUGAAGGCUUCAGGUUUUGACAUUAGCGUUGUAGAAAAUUGACACAGAUACAAAUCUACUUAAAAUUAUUAAUUACAAAUAACAAAUUUCACAUUAGCACACAGCAAAAAGAAGUAAGACUUACAUGUAUUAAAAGAAACAUUAAUUGAAAGAAAAAAAGACUGGAACGGAACGCUGGAUCGGCGUCAUCCAUCAGACAUCUGAUCCGGUUAAUUUGUCAAUAUUGGAGCUGAUAUCCGAUCCAAAUAUCGGAUCGGUGCAUCCCUAUUAAAUGCGUCUGAUUAAUGCAGCUAACACUGUAGAACAAACUCAAAUAUGUAGCAUCUCUUUUCUCUAUUUUCCAUUCAUACUCAUGCUGUUGCUGAUGCGAUCUAAGGUUGGGUAUAAUAACUGUAAAACAUGCUGUCUGAUUGAUCUACUCUCAGAUAUUUCUCAAUCGGAGUAGCCGCUUUAAAGUGUUGUUAUGGGAAUAUCUCCUCUUGCACUCUGUGUAUUUCCUCUGGGAGUACGGAGGAAACACUCGAGCAAAUUCUCCACUAGAUUAAAAACUUCAACUAUCUUAACAUUCCUCCAGCGUGACUCCUUUUAUUCUAUACAUACCGCACAAACGCAUAAGCCGGCCCUCAUUUACUCAUGGGAUUGUUUUGCUUCUACGAUAAUUCCUGAUAAGUGAAGUAAGACUCCGCACAAUCCUGGCAGGAACGCGUUUCCAUGAGACUCUCCCUGGACGGGGGGACGCUUGCACCUUCUUUCCAGUGAACUCAUUCAUUUGACAGUAAUUGAGUUCAACAGCUCAAAAAGUAACAGCAACAACAAAGAGGCUACGAGUGUGUGUGUUUGUGUCUGUAUUUGCUUUGAGGGGGAGAAACGAAGGCAGCGCGUACUCACUUUGUUGUGGCCUCUGUGGUAUUUUCUAGUGAUUGAUUGCAGAUCUCAUUACCACUUGUUUGUGUUCAGCUCUGUUGACACCUGUUAUGUGACAGAGGUGAGUCUGAGCUUCUGUCAGUUUGGGUUGAAUUGCCAGAGGCUUCCCCGUGUGUGUGUUUGUGUGUGUGUUUACACUCUCCUUGCAGUUUUGAUUGCAUAACACACAGACACACCAGACAGUAUGAAAAAGUUUUCUCCCUGCUGCUCGUCUGUUGUGGACUCUGAUGUCAGUCUAAGCCUUCAGGAAGCCUCUGUUUGCAUUUCAUUACGGGCUAUGCUGCAGGGAAGCGCCUUUUAUUAAUGCACUUACGGCAACAGCUGACCCAGCAAGCUGUGGGAGUGGAGAUUGAGCGGUGUCAUUACGAGCGAGCACAGUUUACUUUGGAGGAAUUUGCAUGUUUGUUUUUUUCUCUGUAUUUCGAUAAAGCCUGACUAGGUGUGGUCAUUGAUGGGAAUUUGCAAAACAAGCAGUUGCAUCUGCAUUGUGUAAACACCCUAAUCCUGAUGCUUCAAAUGAAACCCUUUAUAUUCUGCAAACAGACACUUCAAUUCAGCUGCUGGAGUUUUGAAAGUAAAAUGUUGUCGUAAUUUUGUCUGAAUUUGCUCGAAGUUGCAAGGUCUCGUAUUCGGACUCUUUUUGUACUUGGCUGUGCAGAUGUUAAACAUGCAGAAUAUGGUUUAGUGUUGACAUGCUGCAGUUUUCAAGGCCUCCCCCUGAAAAAGGCCCUUUCUCAACAGCAGUUUUGCUCAGGAACUUACCUAUCAUCCAUGUCGUGUAGCUUUUAUUGUUCCUUCCUCUGAAUUAAAGUGCCGUCUUCCGUUGUUUCUGAAUCGUGUUUACAUGUGGUUUCCUUUUUGCAUUGUGCGGUUUUUAAACACAUGGUUCUCACCAGGUACAGGGAGGAAGAAGGGCUUUAGCCAUCAGGUGUUUUCAUAAAUGAUUUAUGUUCUUGUUUAUUUACUCUAUUUAUUGUAAAUUUAAUGUAAAAAUGUUGAAGAGACUGACUGUUAAUUGAGUAUUGGAGAAGGGGUAUAAGUUUAAAUAAGCGUAAUGCUUCAUCCGACUCCUUUUGGGCAUGUUGGGUUCUCAUUACAGGGCUUGGCACUAACUUUUUUCACACAUGCUCCCAAGAUGAAAAAGUAAGGAGCACUCAAAGAACUUUAGGGGCACAAUGAAAAUUGAUCAAAUAAUGUGUGUCUUAAUGGUCGGCAUAAGUCAGCACUAUUAUUUGAAAUCAAUUUUAGUUCUUUUGGUCACAUGACAUGGAAGAUAUUGAAGGAAAUGUUCAAAAUUUCCCUUUAAGUUUAACACAAAAUUUUUUUAGAGGACAGAUUAGGGAAAUAAAGAGGCGUGUCUUAUUGUCUGACCUUAUUAAUAUUAUUUGAAAUCAAUUUUAGUUCUUUUGGUCACAUGACAUAAAAGCUAUUGGAGGAAAACAGCCUUUUUUGUGAACAUUAACCAGUAAUUUACUGGUGGUCCCUUAUUCCUGGUUAUGGAGAGUGAGAAGUCAUCGGUAGAUCCGCGGUGAAUGUCCAUCAGAUAUCCAACCAAAAACUAACUUCACUGCAGUAUUUACAUGAAAAAACAUUCGUUGCCUUGACUGAUUUUUUUUAAGCGCACAUGUGCCCCUAAAUAUAUUUUACAAUUCACACACAUCGAAUUUUAGUCGCAAAUGUGAGUGAAACGGUCGCACUGUCAAGCCCUACAUUAUUUUUAAUAGUAUUUUUUUUUGUUUUGAUUGUUGUCAUUGUUGUUUUGAAUAUUCGCAUUUGUUGUGUUUGUUUGUUUGUUUCAGUUUACUUUCUUGUGUUGCACUCACGUUUGAAUAAAAUAAAAUGUUUUUGUUUGUUUUAUUAUCUUGAAUUUUACGUACUAUGUAAAGCGUCUUUGAGUGUUUUUAAAAGUGCUGUACAAAUAAAAUGAAUUAUUAUUAUUAUUAUUAUUAUUAUUAAUAAAAUAAAAUAAAAAAUAAAAAUAAUAAAUAAAUAAAAUACAGUCGUGGAUGCGCAGUGGUUUCCACAACAGAGCCACGUAUGUUUUUUUUUUUUUUUUAUCAAGUUCCACCUGAAGCUCUAAACCUUACUGCUUUUCAGCCUCGUCUCGUCUGUACAGAGAAUUCCCCAGAUCUUUUAUUAAUAUGACACUAGAUGUGUGUACUGUGAAUGUCAACAUGAAGACUUUUUUUCACUGGUUGUGUCUGGUAGCUUCGCCUUUAUAACCACGAAGCUGACAGCUGUGCAUUCACAUUAAAGACUUAUAUAAGCCUGCAUUGAUAAAUAUUUAAUUUAAUCAAACGAGAUAUUUGAGAAGGGUAAGUGUUCAUUAAAAAGCACGCUGAAUCAGGUGAGCGGCUAGUUUUUUAUCCACUGUUGAUCGUACCUGAUUUGGUUAGGGAUUCAAAAUAUUGAGGCACACGGGAGUUAAAACGUACAGCAUUAACCAUCAGCAAAGAUUUAAAUAUAUGCAUUAAGUGAAGCUGUUUGUUUUUAUGGAGAUAAGCACUUAUUCCCAAUCCCUCAUGCAA
rnacentral:lncRNA from 1 species